AGAUAAACCACACUUCCUGAGAGGUUGCAAGCACACGUAUGCAGACUUCCCUGGUAACAGACACACAGGUUGCUGCCAUGCGGGAUGAAGGUCUGAGAACAUUUGAGAUGUUACUCCAUUCGCUUCAAUAGACCCAUGCCUCAUUUGUGCUGCUGUACGCUAGAUGAGAAUCAGACCCAUCAACCUAUCAUCAAGUAAAACCAGGAUGGCCUGAGGAAAUCAAACCAGGCACCAGAUUGAAGCCAAAUGCCACCUGAUCUACACAGAUGUGCCAUGCAGUAUGUCAUUACAGCACUGACAAGAGAGUUUGCACAUUGAGUAUAAAUGUGCCAGUGCUGACUGAGGACAAUUAUUUUUGAAUACGAAGUACUGGCGAUUGUUUGCAAACAGACAUUACAAGUCUACAGAAAGGCAGGAGGUAACAUUAACGGUUUGUUCCAGUUCUGGAGUGUCCUAGCACAUCAGCUUUGCCUUGAACUUCUCUGGGUCCCAGGUAUACAUUCUUGUCUGUCAGGGACUUGCCCUGCGCUUGUAAAGUGCCCAGUACAAUGGGAACCUGAUCUCAGCUGAAGGCUCUACAAGCUACCAUAAUAGAGGAACAAGGAACAUAGUGGUCAUCAGGUCCUCUUUGCAAUGGACUAGAAAGCCAGAGAACUUAGCAUUCUUGGCUGUCGCAAACAGACCCAUUGACAACUUACCCCAAGGUUUGUAGACCUGAUGUAACUUCUCCAUUCACCUCCCACUCCUGUGGGAGCGCCUUUUGACUCAGGCUGUCUGUUUGAGGAUUGAGCAUGCCAGCCAGGGGAGUCCCGAGGGAUAGUAAGUAGUCUUCUGGCCAGUCCAUCAUCAUCAUGGCUUCUCAUGCUAGCUUCUUGCUCCUGGCAUCAUCCUGUUUGUGUGUUUAUGACACCACUGUAUUGCCUGAAUGACCCAACACUGCUUGAGGACCAUGACACCUUCCACCGCUUGCACACUUGGAUGUGCAAGUCCACCAGGGAAUCAGCCUAGGAGACCAAACGAGCUCCCAACCACCAUAGACUUGCAGAGGAGGGAGUGCUGGACUGUAAGAGUAAGCAUGAUCUCAGACCUCAGACCCGUAUGCCUCUUUUGUGUCUUCUCUGGCUAAAGGUAGUACUUUCCCUCCGUUUUCUAGAACUCUCUAGCUCAUUCAUGAGAUGGAAGAGGCACUCUCCCUUUCAAAGAGUAAUGAGGGAAUGCUAAAGCCAUAGCAAAACAGGGGGCUUUCAGACCUUUACCCCCAACAGUGCCUUGCUUCAGGUUUUGGCCUGGAUGGAUGCUUCCCAUGUUGGCCAGUCUAUCUACCUGGGCCCUAGCCAGAUGUGGUGAAGCCAACUGGUGAACUAGAGCAUGGGUCACCUCCCAUCUAGACUCCUUAAACAUGCAUUUGAGAAGGUCCACCAAGGGCACUAUAGCUUGGAGAAAAGCAGGGAUACUUGAUCUCCUUACCUGCCUUCAGUGUAGGUGUCUAAGGGUUUGCUUUGAGGGACCCCUCUCCCUCUCAGGUCCCAUGGGAUUAGCUAAGCAGGAGGGGACAGUCACAGAAUGAAUCAGGCCUGAUCUUUUGUGACAUAUGCUCCUCUCUAACCCCACUUCCUUUGCUGUCACCACAGGUGUGCUUCAACAGAGCUUCUGUCACAGUAUGAGGUAACAAACAACAAGAGCGAGAGAAAUGACUGCAGGCAGAAGGGCAAUGCUGACUGACAAAAUCCUAGAAACCAGGCAAGGAGGGGAGAAACCUUUAACAAGGCAACAGGGAGCAGAGGCCCAGAUUCCAGACGGAUGAGCUCCCCACAGAAAGGAGAAUGUGGUGCAUUCAUGCACAAGUGGAGUGACACCUGUGUGGGGAAUAUACAUCGGACCUUUGCUUAUCCCAGGGGACAUCCUGGCACAGUAGGCUUCAUACGUAGGGCUUGUAUGCAGUGUAGAAAGAGGGCUGCUGGUUGAAAUUAGGCGCCAAAUUUGGGUUUACUAAAAUCUAACACCAAUAGAAAUAAAAAAGUCUUUAUAUUCUGGUAGCAGUCAGCACUGAGCCCCCGAAUCUACCAGGCCCAUGCCAAUCUCAGCUGAGGUUUCUUUGAAGCAGUUUAUCCCAUCAAGCUUUCAAAAGAGCAGAUGAUACAAGGAGUCACUAAACAGAAGAAUGUGUCCUCUAACCCUGCGUGGACAGCUGCUCUAUGUAGACAAUUGCCCAUUUGAAUUGUUCGUAGGCAGCAGAACACAGACCACAUUUAAACCCAUCUCAGUCAUUACACACGCGCACGCACACACACUUUUUAACAAUACUGCUGUAUCCGCUUAGUUUCGGUCAAUUAUGAGAUACCCUCUCACAUUAUGCCAUAAGCAAAUCCCUAUGGAAAAGGUGGCAUGCUACAUCCUGAAAUAGACUCUGAUGGUGUCUAUAAACUGCUGUUCAUUUCAUUUCCACCCACUCGCCCCCAUCUCACACACACUCUAUUUUCCCAAAAUGUCAGUUUGCACAGGAGAGCAACUAUGUUCACAUUUGACAAUCCAACAGAUCUGCUGUCUGUGUUUGACCGAACCUUCAGAAACCUUUUGGAGCAUUCUACCAGCAUAAUUAAAUGCUGCCAUUACAGAUACUUUGGACAACACAUUUAUAACAAUACAUUUCAUGCCUCAUCUGCCACAAAAGUUUAGAAAUUCAAGUCAGCAUUCUCCGGUAAUUAUUAAUACACUUUUUUAAAUGGGAUACAGCCCUUUUUUGCAUAAUUCUAUUGCUUAAAUCAAGCAUCUAGCUAUUUGAAUCACAAACAUGACUCCAGCUUACAUGUUUUGAAGCAAAAACCCCACAAACUUUUGCUCCUCCCCAAUUUCCAUAAAAAGAAAACAAAAAUCUCUUAUUUAUGAAAGUGUCAUCACUACCUGCUUGUCAUGUACCUGCCUCAUUUGCUAUUCAAAAGUGACGCUGACCCUUAAAACCCUGGAGAGUACCUUUGCUGCUUCUUGCUAGCAAUUACAUAGUUAAUUGUCUACCACAAGGGCCUUGGGGGCUAGAUUCUGCAUGACGUUGAGCCGCCCCUCUCCAUACUAAGUGAUGGGAGCUCAGUCCCUUGUAAGGUCUUUCCCAGCUGCCUCUCAGAACAGAAAGAUUCUAGCUCUGCUGCAACCAAGAGGGUUUUGCUCAAAAUGAUGUUCACAAUUCAGAUUUUUAUUUUCCCCAAACUUUUGGCACGUGAACAGCAUCCAUCAGAGUUUCACAAAUACCAAACUUCUGGCACCUCUUUGUUUAAAUAAAUAGCGUGAAAGUUGGACACAGACCAGCAAAAUCCAGGAAACAACAUGUCUGAGGUUGCAUCACAAAAAUGUAAUUGAAAAACACUGCAACCUUAUUGGAAACAUGCAACACUAAUCCACAGCAAGUCCAAGGACAAUGGAGACUCUCAACCAAGGCACUGAGCUACGUGCCGCACGGCUGGUGCCCUCUCAGUGGUUCUUUAUUAUUAGGAUGCAACCUGAUGCAUGACAUAAACCUGACAUACUCACACAAGGUCAGACAAAUAUUGCACAGGAACAUCCAUCCUUUACCAAUGGAGCCAGCUGUUCCAUAUUGUGGGUUGCCAUGAACAACCCAACCCUCUUUUCCAUUGCGGAGAUGGGAGUGCUUCUAGCCACCCGGAAUCAGAUCAAUGUUACAAUAGCCAUGUUCAGUUUGACAUCUGAUCUCUUGAACAGCUGGCUGAGAGAGAGACAGUGAACUUCCUUGGCUCUGAGCAGUUCUCUCUUCACAGCUCUUGAAGUGGUAGGACUAGAAAAUGAAAUCCUAUAGUUGGCCUCUCCUGAGAGCACAUGCUGCAACUGUUAUCCAUGC